rnacentral:rRNA from 1 species
UACGAGGGAUGCAAGCGUUAUCCGGAAUUAUUGGGCGUAAAGCGUUUGUAGGCGGGCGAGUGUGUUUAAUGUUAAAUCUUAAAGCUCAACUUUGAAAUUGCGUUAAAAACUGCUUGUCUUGAGUAUGGUAGGGGUAAAGGGAAUUCCCAGUGUAGCGGUGAAAUGCGUAGAUAUUGGGAAGAACGCUAAACAGCGAAGGCACUUUACUAGGCUAAUACUGACGCUGAGAAACGAAAGGUAAGGUAGCGAAACGGAUUAGAUACCCGUGUAGUCUUACCCGUAAACUAUGGACACUAAACGGUAAAUUUUUAAUUUACUGUUAAAGCUAACGCGUUAAGUGUCCCGCCUGGGGAGUAUGCUUGCAAAAGUGAAACUCAAAGGAAUUGACGGGGGCCCGCACAAGCGGUGGAGCAUGUGGUUUAAUUCGACGGUACACGAAGAACCUUACCAGGAUUUGACAUGCUAGAUAGUUGCUUGAAAGAGUAACGUGCCGUAAGGAAUCUAGACACAGGUGGUGCAUGGCUGUCGUCAGUUCGUGUUGUGAAAUGUUGGGUUAAGUCCCGCAACGAACGCAACCCUUGUCUUUAGUUAUUUUCUAAAGAGACUGCCUGUAAUAAACAGGAGGAAGGUAAGGAUGAGGUCAAGUCAUCAUGCCCCUUAUGUCCUGGGCUACACACGUGCUACAAUGGGAAAGACAAUGAGCUGCAAAUCUGUAAAUUUAAGCAAAUCUCUUAAACUUUCUCGUAGUUCGGAUUGUGGGCUGCAACUCGCCCACAUGAAGUUGGAAUCGCUAGUAAUCGCCAGUCAGCUAUAUGGCGGUGAAUCCGUUCCCGGGCCU